UCUCCGUAGGUGAACCUGCGGAGGGAUCAUUGAAUCUCAUCACACACACACGCCCCCCACACACCCCUCCGUCAUGUCCCCCGGCCCCGGCUGCAACCGGCCGGGCCGGGCGCGCGUGUCCCCGGGACCGACGGAGCCGUCGAGAGACGGCGCCGGUCCGACGGGGUCGCGCGGAGUGGCCGCCGUCACGCGCGGCGACCGCCCGGACCAAAACCUCCCCAACCACACCCCACUCACACGACGCCUGAAGCCUGCGGGGCGGCCGGCCGCCCUCGCGCACAACCAACAGACAACUCUCAACAACGGAUAUCUUGGCUCCC
rnacentral:misc_RNA from 1 species